rnacentral:lncRNA from 1 species
GCGAGAGCAAUUUGCACACCCAACAGCAGCAUAGCCUGACCUCAAACUUCUUUUCUUUGUAGGAAGCCCUGUAGCAGUCCCGGAGUGAUGGGACUCCCUGCCUGGCCUGAGAUACCCAGUUAGCACCUGCGAAUCAGAAUUUCCUCUUCGCAGCAAUAAAGCAUCCAGCCUUUGCAUCUGUGACAGCCUCCCCUGUAAUUUAUGCAUUCUAUGAUCUCCUCAACAUUCACAAUUUGUAUGCCCUGGUGUGGCUUAGAAGUAAAAAGUCUACCUGCAGUGCAAGAGACCCAGGUUUAACCCCUGUGUUGGGAAAAUCCGCUGGAGAAGGGAAUGGCAACCCACUCCAGUAUUCUUGCCUGGAGAAUCCCAUGGACAGAGGAGCCUGGCAAGCUACAGCCCACGGGGUCACAAGGAGUCGGACAUGACUGAGUGAGUUUACUUCACUUCACAGAGAGAAAAAAGUAAGAGAAAGAUGUUUUUUUAAAAUAUUGUUGUAAAAGAUACAACUUAUAAGUUAUAAAUUCUAGAAUUUUAUGAAUGGUGAACUCAUAGAUGAAAAAGAGUGUUAGGCAUUUUGGCUGCAGGAAACAGUUACCUUAGUAAUGGAAGUUUCUAGAAAGGGCAUAUGAGAAAAUAGAGAAGAGAGUAUUCUCACAGGAAUCGAAGAACAUCCAUUACCCGAGAUCCCACAUAGUCCUGAGCACUAGUGUUAUAUCUGUUGUCUCUGUAGGAGCAAGAAUUUAUAGAUCUAUGCUCUGAUACCAUUAAUAAGGCUCUAUUAUUCUGUGUUUAUACUUCUCAUUGUGUCCUUUAUAAUUUCUCUUCCCACUAUUUGGAGAUCCAAAGUGAUGAAGACCAUAGAUUCUACAAUUAAAA